ACUCUUGCUUGCAGCUGGAUUCGGUUUUGGGGAGAUAGGAAAGAGUAGAAGGCUGUUUCUGGUUCGAUUGAGAUAGAUUACUGGUCUGUAGCCAAGGAGGUGCGCAUAAUUAUUAAAGUGUGGGCUGGUUUUGGUGCUGUUGAUUAUUGCUUAGACACAAGGAGGACGAAAGAGCAUAUGAGGACAUGGAUUAUUUGGAUAAUUAUUGUUAAUUGCUACUGUUUGGACUUGAUGUUAUUUUGUCUGUUGGAUGACGUUGGAUGACUGUACUUUUGUUACGUGG